CACAGAACUAGCCUUGGAGCCGAAAGUGUUGAAGCAUUGAUGUGUUUUGGGGAUUGGAUUAGGCGUGGUGAACCUUCUUGCGAAGAAAGCAAACCUCAUGAGGUUUCGUGAUUGUUCCAGGUAAACAAGUAGUACACUAGUCGGAAGAGUUACUUGUUUAAAGUAGUACACUAGCUGAAAGUUUAUGAGAUAUUGCUGCAUUUGCUUAUGAGAUAUUACUGUAUUUGUUAUACUCUGAAAGUUUACUCUACUAGUCUAAUGCAAUGGGAAUUGAGAUGAGAGUACUUAAUCUAUUGCAUCCCCUGCUUGUUUAGUUAAUAGCAACUGCGAGUACUGUAUUUUCAAUCCACUUGAGAUUCUGGUAGCAGACCUUGUGAUUUUUAACCUUCUUGAUGUUUUGCUUGAGAUACCUGAUGCCCACUUGAGAUUCCUCCAUGACUGUAAUAUAGCAUCAUUCUUAUUCAGUUACUUUAUAAGAAAUCAUUGCAUCACCAUCUCCUGAAUAGGAGAUUUUAUACAUUCCUGUAGUAACUCUCAUAUUUGUGUACAUACGUUUCAGCAAGAAUGGAUGGAAAGGUUGCCAGAGAUGAAGAAAAUGCAAGCAGAUCUCAUGGUCCAAGCCAAAGAAAGUGAAUGAAGGUCAUCCUAGUGUAUCAGGAUCCUAGUGUAAUAUUUUGGAGACCAGGGAUUUACUAAACUUGGGAUUUGCUGAUGCACUGAUAUUCCUGUGAUGCACGUACUGCUGAUUAACUAAGCUCCGGAUCAUUGGUUAUGACUUGUGAAGUGUUGUUUUGAACUGCUUAUACAUAUUUUGUAAUGGAUUUUCUUAUUUGCUAGCUUA